rnacentral:rRNA from 1 species
AGGAAGCGAGAAGUCGACGCGCCUCGAGAGGCGUCCGGCCCUCCGCGAGCGCCCGCGGGGGUUCGGGUCACGGACCCGGUCCGUUCCCGUUCCCACCGAGGGGCUGUCCGCGUUUGGAGGUGUCCUCGGACGGCGUCGAAUUCCGGUCCGCGACGCUACGGCUUGGAUGGUCCACCCGACCCGUCUUGAAACACGGACCAAGGAGUCUAACAUGCGCGCGAGUCGUUGGGUUCGCGAUGCUAAACCCAUAGGCGCAAUGAAAGUGAAGGCCGCCGCUCCGGCGGCCGAGGGAGGACGGGGCGCUGCCCCCGCACUCCCGGGGCGUCUGAUCCCUCGUCGCGAGGGGAGGCGCACCCAGAGCGCACACGUUGGGACCCGAAAGAUGGUGAACUAUGCCUGGCCAGGACGAAGUCAGGGGAAACCCUGAUGGAGGUCCGUAGCGAUUCUGACGUGCAAAUCGAUCGUCGGAGCUGGGUAUAGGGGCGAAAGACUAAUCGAACCAUCUAGUAGCUGGUUCCCUCCGAAGUUUCCCUCAGGAUAGCUUGCGCUCGGAGUCGAGUCUCAUCCGGUAAAGCGAAUGAUUAGAGGCCUUGGGGCCGAAACGGCUUCAACCUAUUCUCAAACUUUAAAUGGGUGAGAGCUCCGGCUUGCUCGAUUAACGAAGCCGGAGGCUGGAUCGGAGUGCCUAGUGGGCCACUUUUGGUAAGCAGAACUGGCGCUGUGGGAUGAACCAAACGACGGGUUAAGGCGCCCGAAUCGACGCUCAUGGGAAACCAUGAAAGGUGUUGGUUGCUUAAGACAGCAGGACGGUGGCCAUGGAAGUCGGAAUCCGCUAAGGAGUGUGUAAUAACUCACCUGCCGAAGCAACUAGCCCUGAAAAUGGAUGGCGCUGAAGCGUCGUGCCUAUACCCGGCCGUCGCGGCGGGGCGGAUUCGUUCCGUUCGAUGCUGCGACGAGUAGGAGGGUCGCGGCGGCGUGCGCAGAAGGGUCUGGGCUCGAGCCUGUCUGGAGCCGCCGCCGGUGCAGAUCUUGGUGGUAGUAGCAAAUACUCCAGCGAGGCCCUGGAGGACUGAUGUGGAGAAGGGUUUCGUGUGAACAGCCGUUGCACACGAGUCAGUCGAUCCUAAGCCCUAGGAGAAAUCCGACGCCUACGGCGACGGGACGAUCGYAGAAAGAAACCCGUUGAUCGGGCGAAAGGGAAUCCGGUUCCUAUUCCGGAACCCGGCAGCGGAACCGCUGUUUGUCGGGCCCUCACAAGGGGUUCGUCAGGGCAACCUAAAAGGGCCCGGAGACGCCGUCGGGAGCCCCGGAAAGAGUUUUCUUUUCUGCAUGAGCGUUCGAGUUCCCUG